rnacentral:piRNA from 2 species
AAUGGCGCCACUAGGGUUGU